rnacentral:rRNA from 1 species
CCUACGGGAGGCAGCCGUGGGGAAUUUUGCGCAAUGGGGGAAACCCUGAUGCAGCGACCCCGCCUGGAUGAUGAAGGCCUUUGGGUUGUAAAAUCCUGUUCUGGGGGAAGAAAGCUUAAGGGUCCAAUAAACCCUUAAGC